rnacentral:rRNA from 1 species
UUACGGGAGGCUGCAGUGGGGAAUAUCGCACAAUGGAGGAAACUCUGAUGCAGCAACGCCGCGUGGAGGAUGACACUUUUCGGAGCGUAAACUCCUUUUAUAUAGGAAGAAGAUGACGGUACUAUAUGAAUAAGCGCCGGCUAACUCCGUGCCAGCAGCCGCGGUAAUACGGAGGGCGCAAGCGUUACUCGGAAUCACUGGGCGUAAAGAGCGUGUAGGCGGAUUAAAAAGUCAGAAGUGAAAUCCUAUAGCUUAACUAUAGAACUGCUUCUGAAACUCUUAAUCUAGAAUAUGGGAGAGGUAGAUGGAAUUUCUGGUGUAGGGGUAAAAUCCGUAGAGAUCAGAAGGAAUACCGAUUGCGAAGGCGAUCUACUAGAACAUUAUUGACGCUGAGACGCGAAAGCGUGGGGAGCAAACAGGAUUAGAUACCCUCGUAGUC